rnacentral:rRNA from 1 species
GACGAACGCUGGCGGCGUGCUUAACACAUGCAAGUCGAACGGAAAGACCCUGCUUUUGUGGGGUGCUCGAGUGGCGAACGGGUGAGUAACACGUGAGUAACCUGCCCUUGACUUUGGGAUAACUUCAGGAAACUGGGGCUAAUACCGGAUAGGAGCUCCUGCUGCAUGGUGGGUGUUGGAAAGUUUCGGCGGUUGGGGAUGGACUCGCGGCUUAUCAGCUUGUUGGUGGGGUAGUGGCUUACCAAGGCUUUGACGGGUAGCCGGCCUGAGAGGGUGACCGGCCACAUUGGGACUGAGAUACGGCCCAGACUCCUACGGGAGGCAGCAGUGGGGAAUAUUGCACAAUGGGCGGAAGCCUGAUGCAGCAACGCCGCGUGCGGGAUGACGGCCUUCGGGUUGUAAACCGCUUUCGCCUGUGACGAAGCGUGAGUGACGGUAAUGGGUAAAGAAGCACCGGCUAACUACGUG